UACAUGGGGUGCAAACGUUGCUCGGAAUUAUUGGGCGUAAAGAGCUCGUAGGCGGCUCAGUAAGUCAGGUGUGAAAACUCCAGGCUCAACCUGGAGACGCCACCUGAUACUGCUGUGGCUAGAGUCCGGUAGGGGAGCAUGGAAUUCCUGGUGUAGCGGUGAAAUGCGCAGAUAUCAGGAGGAACACCGGUGGCGAAGGCGGGUCUCUGGGCCGGUACUGACGCUAAGGAGCGAAAGCGUGGGGAGCGAACAGG
rnacentral:rRNA from 1 species